GACGAACGCUGGCGGCAGGCCUAACACAUGCAAGUCGAACGCCCGUAGCAAUACGGGAGUGGCAGACGGGUGAGUAACGCGUGGGGACGUGCCCUUCGGUUCGGAAUAACUCAGGGAAACUUGAGCUAAUACCGGAUACGUCCGUAAGGAGAAAGAUUUAUCGCCGAAGGAUCGGCCCGCGUCGGAUUAGCUAGUUGGUGAGGUAACGGCCCACCAAGGCGACGAUCCGUAGCUGGUCUGAGAGGANGAUCAGCCACACUGGGACUGAGACACGGCCCAGACUCCUACGGGAGGCAGCAGUGGGGAAUAUUGGACAAUGGGCGAAAGCCUGAUCCAGCCAUGCCGCGUGAGUGAAGAAGGCCUUAGGGUUGUAAAGCUCUUUCAGCGGGAAGAUAAUGACGGUACCCGCAGAAGAAGCCCCGGCUAACUUCGUGCCAGCCGCCGCU
rnacentral:rRNA from 1 species